UACGUAGGGGGCAAGCGUUGUCCGGAUUUAUUGGGCGUAAAGAGCGUGUAGGCGGCCUGAAAGGUCAGCUGCGAAAACUCGAGGCUCAACCUCGAGACGUCGGUUGAAACCAUCUGGCUAGAGUCCGGAAGAGGAGUGUGGAAUUCCCGGUGUAGCGGUGAAAUGCGUAGAGAUCAGCAGGAACACCCGUGGCGAAGGCGGCCCCCUGGGCCGAACCUGACGCUGAGGCGCGAAGGCGUGGGGAGCGAACAGG
rnacentral:rRNA from 1 species